UCUUAGACAAUGGGGGCAACCCUGAUCUAGCCAUGCCGCGUGAGUGAUGGAGGCCUUAGGGUUGUAAAGCUCUUUCAGCUGGGAAGAUAAUGACGGUACCAGCAGAAGAAGCCCCGGCUAACUCCGUGCCAGCAGCCGCGGUAAUACGGAGGGGGCUAGCGUUGUUCGGAAUUACUGGGCGUAAAGCGCACGUAGGCGGACUGGAAAGUCAGAGGUGAAAUCCCAGGGCUCAACCUUGGAACUGCCUUUGAAACUAUCAGUCUGGAGUUCGAGAGAGGUGGGUGGAAUUCCGAGUGUAGAGGUGAAAUUCGUAGAUAUUCGGAGGAACACCAGUGGCGAAGGCGGCUCACUGGCUCGAUACUGACGCUGAGGUGCGAAAGCGUGGGGAGCAAACAG
rnacentral:rRNA from 1 species